rnacentral:lncRNA from 1 species
CGAGAAAACUAGUGUUCUAGCUUGAGUUACUAAUUCAUCGUCUUGAAUGUUGUUUUGUUUCAAGCUUUAAUUUGAGGUGUUUAAUGUAUUAGGUGGCUUGGUGAGAUGAUUAUAAUGAAACGUGAAGGAUUUACAAGCCUCAAAUCAAUUGGAAACAUCAUAAAAGGCUUGGAAUGGUCCAACUGAAGCACAACUCACAACAUGACAAACUUAGGAUGCCUGGGAGCUCAAUACCGCAUUGUG